GUCCCGUUCGUCUAGAGGCCUAGGACGCGGCCCUUUCAAGGCUGCAACACGGGUUCGAAUCCCGUACGGGACGCCA
rnacentral:tRNA from 4 species